rnacentral:rRNA from 1 species
CACGUAGGCGGAUAUUUAAGUCAGGGGUGAAAUCCCAGAGCUCAACUCUGGAACUGCCUUUGAUACUGGGUAUCUUGAGUAUGGAAGAGGUAAGUGGAAUUCCGAGUGUAGAGGUGAAACUCGUAGAUAUUCGGAGGAACACCAGUGGCGAAGGCGGCUUACUGGUCCAUUACUGACGCUGAGGUGCGAAAGCGGUGGGGAGCAAACA